rnacentral:rRNA from 1 species
CCCUUAGAUGUUCUGGGCGGCCUGCGCACUACAAUGGCGUGUGCAGCGAGUGCCGAAGUAGAGUUUUCCGAGGUAUUCUUGCAAUGCUCGUUUUGAUGGGGAUAGACCCUUGCAACUGUUGGUUUUGAACGAGGAAUUCCUUGUAAGCAUGGUUUAUCAUCCGACGCUGAAUGCGUCCCUGCCCUUUGUACACACCGCCCGUCGCUCCUACCGAUGAGUCGUCCGGUGAAGUUCGUAGACCUCGUGAUCGCGGAUCACUGGGGGAAGCAAAAUGAACCUCGCGGUUUAGAGGAAGGAGAAGUCGUAACA